rnacentral:rRNA from 1 species
AUGAAGUCGGAAUUGCUAGUAAUGGCAGGUCAGCAUACUGCCGUGAAUACGUUCCCGGGCCUUGUACACACCGCCCGUCACACCAUGAGAGUUGGGAAUACCCGAAGCCUGUGAGCCAACAAACGGGGCAGCAGUCGAAGGUAGAAUCAAUGAUUGGGGUGAAGUCGUAACAAGGUAGC